rnacentral:rRNA from 1 species
CCUACGGGGGGCAGCAGUGGGGAAUAUUGGACAAUGGGCGCAAGCCUGAUCCAGCAAUGCCGCGUGUGUGAAGAAGGCCUGCGGGUUGUAAAGCACUUUAAGCAGGAAAGAAGGGGUGAAAGUUAAUACAUUUCAUCAUUGACGUUACCUGCAGAAUAAGCACCGGCUAACUCCGUGCCAGCAGCCGCGGUAAUACGGAGGGUGCGUACGUUACUCGGAAUUAGCGUGGGUGAAUCGCGCGUUCGGUGGUGAAAGCCCUGGGCUUAACCUGGGAACUGCGGUGGAUACUGUCGGGCUAGAGUGUGGUAGAGGGGAGUGGAAUUUCCGGUGUAGCAGUGAAAUGCGUAGAGAUCGGAAGGAACACCAGUGGCGAAGGCGGCUCCCUGGACUAACACUGACGCUGAGGUGCGAAAGCGUGGGGAGCAAACAGGAUUAGAUACCCCUGUAGUC